rnacentral:tRNA from 1 species
CGGGCCUGUAGCUCAGUUGGUUAGAGCACU